rfam:Streptococcus pneumoniae SP6-BS73 ctg892, whole genome shotgun sequence.
UAUUCGUUAUCACUGGUCACAUUGAAAAUGUGAAAUAAGCACCUACAACAUAGACUUUACAACACUUCAUGUUUCAUAUCAUGGGGUGUUUUUCU